rnacentral:lncRNA from 1 species
AGAAAAGCAGUUAAGAAAUAUGCUUUUUGAUUAGCUAUUUAGUUUACUCUUACCGAUUCAGUUCUGCUCUUUUGGACCAAAACAUCAUGAGAGCAAGUACAUUAAUCAAAGUCCCAAGUUUUCAGUUCUAUAUAGGAUGAUGGGACAUAUUGGGUUAACAUCUGUUGGGUGGGAAUUCAACUGACAUACAUUUGGAAUGUAUAAUCCCAGCCUUUAUAAUAAUUUGGAUUACAUUGUAUGUUGGGUUUUUGAUGAAAUUUGGCUAAAUUUUUUACAAAUGAAAUUAUUUCUCUGAUCAUUUAGUCCUAUCUAUUUAGAAAUAUGUUAAACUGGAUUUUUUUUUUAAGCAACAUGUGACCAAAGUUCAUUUUUUUUCUCCUUAAGGUCUAAAUAAAGAGAAAGCAGUUUCCCACCCCCCCCCCAAA